rnacentral:lncRNA from 1 species
UAAUAUCUAUUUAGCUAUUUUUAAGUGACAUAGUCAGUCACUUAAAGUAGAAAAGACUUAUAUAAAUUCAUUUGCGUUGAAUGUGUAUAGUAGACUUACAACUGUGUUGGAGUACUUAUUUGUACUUUGUGCAAUUUAUUACUGGAUAGUCUGUUAAAAUAAAUAUUUAUAUUGUAAAGAAUUACUUCAUGAAUGUCUUUCAUUGAGUUAUAUAUGAUCUGAUUGGUCAAUAUGUUGUCACAUGGUUCCAUAUCUCCAUCCAAUACCAAACCACACAAGAUGAAUUUUGAACCACAUGAAUUACAUAUGAUUAUUUUGAAAAUGAAUUAUUUUCAAAAAUUUAUCUAUUUUCAGAAAAAAAUGUUAUUUUAUUGAAUGAAUUUAUUAAUCAGAUUUGUUGCAUUUCAAUGUACAUAGAACGAAAUAUUUGAAGUUUGAGGCAGAAGACUUACAUUAAUGGUAAAUGUUCAGGCUGUUCCAUAAACAAAAGUUGAGCCAAAACGUCUCUACGCAGCUAGAUUAUUUCGUAGAAUUGCCAUUUAUUCAUAUAAUUGCAAUAUUCUAUACAUCUAAAAUAACCUCUUCCAAUGAAAUUUUGAAAUACAAUCAAUUCUGGAACAGCCCUCAGUUAAACACACA